GAUGAACGCUGACAGAAUGCUUAACACAUGCAAGUCAACUGUGGCGGACGGGUGAGUAACGCGUAAAGAACUUGCCUCACGGAUAGGGACAACAUUUGGAAACGAAUGCUAAUACCUGAAACUGUGAGAGAGCUUUGCGUCCCAUGAGCAAGUGGGAGAGGUAACGGCUCACCAAGGCGAGGAUGGGUAGCCGGCCUGAGAGUGUGAUCGGCCACAAGGGGACGGAGACGCGGCCCUUACGCAUACGGGAGGCAGCAGUGGGGAAUAUAGGACAAUGGACCAAAGUCUGAUCAAGCAAUUCUGUGUGCACGAUGAAGUUGUCGGAAUGUAGAGUGCUUGCAGUUGGGAAGCGGUACCAACAGAAGAAGUGACGGCUAAAUACGUGCCAGCAGCCGCGGUAAUAC
rnacentral:rRNA from 1 species